AUUGAACGCUGGCGGCAGGCUUAACACAUGCAAGUCGAGCGAGAGGCGGACGGGUGAGUAAGGGCUGGGCAAAUGCCUGAUGGAGGGGGAUAUCUACUGGAAACAGUAGCUAAUACCGCAUAACCUCAGAAGUGCCCAGAUGGGAUUAGCUCGUAGGUGGGGUAAUGGCUAACCUAGGCGACGAUCCCUAGCUGGUCUUAGAGGAUGACCAGCAACACUGGAACUGAGACACGGUCCAGACUCCUACGGGAGGCAGCAGUGGGGAAUAUUGCACAAUGGGCGCAAGCCUGAUGCAGCCAUGCCGCGUGUGUGAAGAAGGCCUUAGGGUUGUAAAGCACUUUCAGCGAGGAGGCGUUACCGACAGAAGAAGCACCGGCUAACUCCGUGCCAGCAGCCGCGGUAAUUC
rnacentral:rRNA from 1 species